AACUUAAUAGCCAUUCUAGGUUUCCCCGAUUUUUAUAGCGGGGGUGAAAAGGGAACCGGGUGCAAGUCCCGGACGGUCCGGCCACUGUAUGUGGGGAGCGGCUCCCAUAGUUGCCACUGGGUAUGUAAAGACCCGGGAAGGCGGGAGAUGCGCUGUGAACCACGAGUCAGGAGACCUGCCUAGAAAAUUGGCAUGAA
rnacentral:ncRNA from 2 species